rnacentral:rRNA from 1 species
AAUGAACGCUGGCGGCAGGCUUAACACAUGCAAGUCGAGCGCGCGGCGGACGGGUGAGUAAUGUAUGGGGACUGCCCGAUAGAGGGGGAUAACUACUGGAAACGGUGGCUAAUACCGCAUACUAUCGGAUAAUCCAUAUGGGAUUAGCUAGUAGGUGGGGUAAAGGCUCACCUAGGCGACGAUCUCUAGCUGGUCUGAGUGGAUGAUCAGCCACACUGAGACUGAGACACGGCCCGGACUCCAACGGAGGCAGCGGUGGAGAAUAUUGCACUAUGGGAGCAAGGCUGAUGCAACCAUGCCGCGUGUAUGAAGAGGGCCUUGGGGUUUUAGAGUUCUUUCAGCGGGGAGGCGUUACCCGCAGAAGAAGCACCGGCUAACUCCGUGCCAGCAGCCGCGGUAAUUC